CCUACGGGUGGCAGCAGUGAGGAAUAUUGGUCAAUGGGCGUGAGCCUGAACCAGCCAAGUAGCGUGAAGGAUGACGGCUCUAUGGGUUGUAAACCUCUUUUAUAAGGGAAUAAAGUGAGGGACGUGUGCCGUUUUGUAUGUACCUUAUGAAUAAGGAUCGGCUAACUCCGUGCCAGCAGCCGCGGUAAUACGGAGGAUCCGAGCGUUAUCCGGAUUUAUUGGGUUUAAAGGGUGCGUAGAUGGGCUGUUAAGUCAGUUGUGAAAGUCUGCGGCUCAACCGUAAAAUUGCAAUUGAUACUGGCAGUCUUGAGUACAGUUGAGGUAGGCGGAAUGCGUGGUGUAGCGGUGAAAUGCUUAGAUAUCACGAAGAACCCCGAUUGCGAAGGCAGCUUACUAAGC
rnacentral:rRNA from 1 species